AUUUUUCUAUGAAGCCAGGUGUUAUUGCUUACUAUUUUCAGAUAUAGAUAUAGUCUUUGUAAGUAAGAGUGCUUCUGUAUUAUAAUGUCUCCAACAACUUUGUCAGAUUUUUAAAUUAAUUUUUUGAACAAGACUCUUUUGAGUUGUCUCCUUAAUCUUACCAUUAGCAAAGAAAUGCAUUACAGUUAGGCUCUACACAUGAAAUGGUGACAUGGAGGACACAGAGGUGCCCUGUCUGCAGCCUCCAUAGACCAGCCAGAGCCAGGUUGUGAUUCGUGAUCUCUUAUGAGGAGGAAAUGCUGAUGGGCUGUUGUUCUGAAACCAAGUCUACUCUCAUCUUCUGGUGACUCUGAAACAUGCUACCCACACCGACAUACCAUGUAUCACACACUGAAUUGCCCCUGACAUGCUGUGGGUAAAAUUGCCCCCACCAUGCUGUGGGUUGCCCCCGACAUGCUGUGGGUAAAUAUCACAAGUUAAGAAAUGAAAUGGAAACUGAAGGG
rnacentral:lncRNA from 1 species